UACGUAGGGAGCAAGCGUUAUCCGGAUUUAUUGGGUGUAAAGGGUGCGUAGACGGGAUUACAAGUUGGUUGUGAAACCCCUCGGCUCAACUGAGGAACUGCAACCAAAACUAUAAUUCUUGAGUGCAGGAGAGGAAAGUGGAAUUCCUAGUGUAGCGGUGAAAUGCGUAGAUAUUAGGAAGAACACCGGUGGCGAAGGCGACUUUCUGGACUGUAACUGACGUUGAGGCACGAAAGUGUGGGGAGCAA
rnacentral:rRNA from 1 species